UACGUAGGGUGCGAGCGUUAAUCGGAAUUACUGGGCGUAAAGCGUGCGCAGGCGGUUUUGUAAGCCAGGUGUGAAAUCCCCGGGCUCAACCUGGGAAUGGCAUUUGGGACUGCAAGGCUGGAGUGCGGCAGAGGAGACUGGAAUUCCUGGCGUAGCAGUGAAAUGCGUAGAUAUCAGGAGGAACACCGAUGGCGAAGGCAGGUCUCUGGGCUGACACUGACGCUCAUGCACGAAAGCGUGGGGAGCAAACAGG
rnacentral:rRNA from 1 species